rnacentral:rRNA from 1 species
GACGAACGCUGGCGGCGUGCUUAACACAUGCAAGUCGAACGAAGAGCGAUGGAAGCUUGCUUCUAUCAAUCUUAGUGGCGAACGGGUGAGUAACGCGUAAUCAACCUGCCCUUCAGAGGGGGACAACAGUUGGAAACGACUGCUAAUACCGCAUACGCUCCAAUCUCGGCAUCGGGACUGGAUGAAAGGUGGCCUCUAUUUAUAAGCUAUCACUGAAGGAGGGGAUUGCGUCUGAUUAGCUAGUUGGAGGGGUAACGGCCCACCAAGGCGAUGAUCAGUAGCCGGUCUGAUAGGAUGAACGGCCACAUUGGGACUGAGACACGGCCCAGACUCCUACGGGAGGCAGCAGUGGGGAAUCUUCCGCAAUGGACGAAAGUCUGACGGAGCAACGCCGCGUGAGUGAUGACGGCCUUCGGGUUGUAAAGCUCUGUUAAUCGGGACGAAUGGUUCUUGUGCGAAUAGUGCGAGGAUUGGACGGUACCGGAAUAGAAAGCCACGGCUAACUACGG